ACUGCAAAUCUGCCGUCAUCGACUUCAAGGUUCGACUCGAGCAAUAGUGAGAGAACGUUGCCGCAGGCAACGGCCCGAAGGGUGAGGAGCUUUAGCUCCGAAUAAUCCUUCCCGCUAUAGAA
rnacentral:sRNA from 3 species